AACGAACGCUGGCGGCAUGCCUAACACAUGCAAGUCGAACGAUACCUUCGGGUCUUGUGGCGCUCGGUUGCGUAACGCGUGGGAACCUGCCCUUAGGCUCUGUAUAACUCCCCGAAAGGGGUGCUCUUACCGGAUCAUGUCUUCGUACCUAAGAUUUAGCGCCUCUGGAUGGGCCCGCGUUGGAUUUGCUAGUUGGUAGGGUAAAAGCCUACCAAGGCGACGAUCCAUAGCUGGUCUGAGAGGAUGAUCAGCAACACUGGGACUGAGACACGGCCCAGACUCCUACGGGAGGCAGCAGUGGGGAAUAUUGGACAAUGGGCGAAAGCCUGAUCCAGCAAUGCCGCGUGAGUGAUGAAGGCCUUAGGGUUGUAAAGCUCUUUUACCCGGGAUGAUAAUGACAGUACCGGGAGAAUAAGCUCCGGCUAACUCCGUG
rnacentral:rRNA from 1 species